rnacentral:rRNA from 1 species
UGCGUAGGUGGCAGAACAAGUCUGGAGUAAAAGGUAUGGGCUCAACCCGUACUGGCUCUGGAAACUGUUCAGCCAGAGAACAGAAGAGGACGGCGGAACUCCAUGUGUAGCGGUAAAAUGCGUAGAUAUAUGGAAGAACACCGGUGGCGAAGGCGGCCGUCUGGUCUGUUGCUGACACUGAAGCACGAAAGCGUGGGGAGCAAAUA